UAUAGGGAGCGUUGUAAUUUGAUUCCUGCCUUUUGCUUGUUGAGGUGACGACACACUCUCUGGAGCUCAUCCAGCAACAAAUCUGCAAGAAAAACCAAAUAAUUCACAGUCCACACCUAGAUUUUGGUCCCAUUCGGAGAUUGGGUACUGUGUCUCGUACAGUUGUAUUGCCUCCGCAUCUCCAUUAAGGUUCCAUGACUAUUGAUGACUGGUGGUACUCAUCGACGUUGAAUUCGGGAAAGCUGCUGGAGUAAUCUAGUGUUCAUCCUCUUGAUUCAUUUCGUGUCAGCUAGCAGCUAGUGAAAGGCGUAACGAUUCGAGCUGAGUUGCUGCCGCUGCGUGCUGUCUGCAAGAAAGCAAUCAAAUUAGCUGUCGCUAGGUGGCUUAAAAUAAUUUCCACUAGGUUGCGCGAGUGUCUUCAGGGAUAAAUGAAUUAUGGUCGUGACGUUUCUCAUGAUGAAAAUGGAAAGGUCCAAUGCAACAGUAACAGUCCGCUGCUGGUUAUUUUGUUGCAGACAGCUGGGGAUAGGUGUUCCUUUUGCAGGUGUGCUACCUGUACUGGUUGUAAUUUUCAUCAUGUACAGAAACAAUUCUUAAGCAGGAUGUCGAAGAUCUUUCCUUUCUCCACGUGGUUGCUGAAGUGUCAUGAAGAUGUGUGUUUGGGAGGGUCUCUACUAUAUUGCAAGACAAAAGUGUGAUGAAAACAGGAAAUCUGAAAUGGUGUCCAUGGUUCAGUUUGGUGGUACAUUGGUUUUGCAGUCCUUUUCCAGAUGAGAGAUGCGCUGAAAUUGGGCUUGUAUAGACUUACAGUUCAACAUCAUACGUGUGUCAUGUGUCAUUUGCCUUUUAUGGUGUCCAUGCAGUAUAUGCAGUGUUGAACAGUUGGGUAACAUAGUCAAUGUUGCCUGAUGGCUGUCGGGCUUAUUUUAUCGGCUGCGUUUUGUCGAUAUGUCGUCUGUUGCUACCUGUAACCGCGUUGAGUUCAAUCGUCAGCUGCCGUUCCAUAGAUCCAUUGGUGGAACUGAGGAGAGGUUGCUGAAAUUCAAGACUCGUCAAUAAAUUAUGUAGAUGUAGACAAAUUACAAGUGCAUAUUUGGGCUCCCUUCUUCAGUGGCCCCGUUUCCUAAAAAACCAGUAACCAACGCCCGCCGGUGGUCACUCACUCGCUGCGAUAACCAGGAGGAAGGGAGAUGUUUGAUUGAACGGGGACUUGCAAGGGGAAUGAUUCGAUGAAAUCUGUUGGAGGGUCAUGAGUGAGUCUAAGCCGGAAGUCUAUGUAUGAUGCAUGGCUCUCUUAAAAACUGUUCCUCGGCUCUCUUCGCUCUUUUUCCGGUUUCUCUCAACCAUGGUCGGGUAAUCUCCCUGG